UACGGAGGGUGCAAGCGUUAUCCGGAUUCACUGGGUUUAAAGGGAGCGUAGGUGGGGUGGUAAGUCAGUGGUGAAAUCUCCGGGCUUAACUCGGAAACUGCCGUUGAUACUAUCAUUCUUGAAUAUUGUGGAGGUAAGCGGAAUAUGUCAUGUAGCGGUGAAAUGCUUAGAUAUGACAUAGAACACCAAUUGCGAAGGCAGCUGGCUACACAAAUAUUGACACUGAGGCACGAAAGCGUGGGGAUCAAACAGG
rnacentral:rRNA from 1 species